GGCUCCUCUUGGUCAGUGCGGUUUCGCCUUUAUGGUGGUGGAGUACGCCCAAGCUGUGGACAGCAAAUAACCCUGUACAAAGGGGAAUGGAGAUUGCCUCUAUCCACCUAGAUUCAUAAGAUGCCCUGAGGUGAUCUUGGCAUCACGGAAGGUAUGCACAUCACACCAUCAGCUUCAGAGAAUGGCAGCCAUUUAUUUGUCCCGUGGGUUUUUUUCCAGGGAACCAAUCUGCCCUUUUGAAGAAAAGACAGAGGUAGAAAGGAUGGUGGAGGACUACCUGGCAAACGGUUAUCAGGUAAGCAGAAAAUGUACUGUUGUUAAAA
rnacentral:sRNA from 1 species